GUUGCUUCUUACUGGUGAACUCUCCCCACAAAACAGUGGGAGAUGUUCAUGUUUCCGAAGCAUAGAUUAACAGUGUUGCCAGUUUUAAACAGCUUGGGGCAAUUCUCUUUAGCUGCACCAUGCUACCUGUCUCCUGGUACAUUC